GAUAGCCAAAAUUACAUUUCACAUUUAUAAUAAACGUUUAGAAGCCUUGUAAAGUAAAUUUUUAGUCAUGGUUUAGAUCAUUUUUUUAUUUUGUAAAGUUUACAUUUAGCUUAUAUAUAAUUUAACAUGUGGUAUUUUUUUCAGUAUUUUUAGAUCCUGUUGCUCAAGUUGGAUUCCAAUUGUCCAACAAUUUAUCUUAGUGUUCUAAUGGAUAUUUUCGAAACACGUGCUGAUGGAGAGCCUGAUUUAAUUAACCCUCAAAUUAUUUCUGAAAGUACAAACGAGUCAUACCGUGCCUUCAUUCGCCAACAACAUAAUCAAAGAGAAAGGGAUUGGCGAAAUCAAGUUAAAAUUGGAUGCAUUGAUCGUCACAAAAGGAUUACUGACCCUAUGUUAUGUGGAAAUAAUAAUUCAAGUACUGUCCAAAUGCAUGAAUCUACUAUAAAUGAUCAUUGUAAAGCUUCUACUUCAAAUAAAGGAACAACUUAUAUUUCCAAUUCUGAAGUAGAAGAAAGUUCUAAGAUAUUGAAUAUAUCAAGUACUGCAUAUGUAUUACCAACAUGCAUUGACUGUAAGCAUUGUGGUGCACGAAAAUUUUAUAGAGAAAAUAAAGGUUUUUGUUGUUCUGAUGGAAAAGUUAAGCUCUUUAUGCCAGAAUCACCAAUUGAAUUGUACGACUUGUUUACUUCUAAAGAUCCUAUGUAUAUGGAAUUCAAAAAAAAAUGCAAGAGGAUAUAAAAAUCAUUUUGCGUUCACAUCGUUCGAUGUAAAGCAGAUAGAGAACUUUUGAAAACAUAUAGAGCUAUUUACAUAUUUAGGGUUCAGGGACAAGUAUAUCAUUAUAUAAAUCAACUUAUGCCUUAGAAUAAUACGCUUUCUUACAUGCAAUUAUAUUUUUAUGAUACAAAUAAUGAGCUUCAAAAUCGUAUGAAAAUUUCAGAGAAUUUCAUUGAAUCUACUUUAAUUACCUUAAUUGAAAUUCUUAAAGUAAAUUCAUAUAGUAGAUUUUUUAGGUCUUUAAGUGAUAUGACUAAUUUACAUGAUCAUCGAAUACAUAUAAGAUGUGAUCCAAGAGUUGAUCAAAGAGUCUUCAAUACUCCUACAACAUUUCAAGUAGCUAUUGUUUGGGUUGAAGAAGAUGAAAAUGCAAAUGUUCACAUUCGUGAUAUUACUAUAUAUGGUCAUUAUGGUGAUUCACACAGGUUUCACUAUUACUAUUGUUGUUAUAAUCCUUUGCAAUAUCCUUUGAUUUUUCUAUAUGGUGAAUCUGGUUGGCAUGAAGGUAUUGAGAGAUGUAGAAGCACAUACUUUUAGCCUCAACAUUUGCCCGACUCUAUUGCUUUUCCUAGCACAAUUAAUUCUGCAGCUGAAAUUCUCGAAAAAGAGGAUACAAUGCUCAAUGGAACCAAAAAACGGUCUCAGGUUUCUUGCCGAGAAUACUAUUCGUACAAAUUACAAAUUGGACUUUUUGGGCAUUGUAGAUAGUGUUCAAAAUGGAAAGACAAGAGGGUGCAAAAUUAGAAGGAAGCUUGUUUUACCACAAUCUUUUACAUGUGGCUCUAGAGAUCUGCUAAGGAGAUACAUGGAUGCGAUGGCUAUUGUACAACGUUAUGGAAAAUCAGAAGUAUUUUUUACUAUAACAUGUAAUAUAAAUUGGCCAGAAAUCAAGCGAGAACUAAGACACAAUGAAGAGGUUCUGAAUCGACCAGAUCUAAUCACGCGUAUAUUUAGAGCAAAAUUAGAAGAGUUGAAAAACGAUUUAUGUAAGGAAAAUGUAUUAGGCCCCGUUGCUGCUUUGAAUUUCAAAAAAGAGGGCUUCCUCAUACACAUCUAUUGUUGAUUUUUAAAUGCGGCUACAAAAUUUGUUGUUCUGAAGAAGUUGAUAAGAUAGUAUCUUGUGAAAUUCCUAACAAACCAAAACACCCCAUCUUCAUUCAAUUAUUUUUAAACAUAAUAUGCAUGGUCCUUGUGGAAAUUUAAAUCCUAAAAAUGUAUGUAUGGAAACAAAUAAUGGUUGUAAAAAUAAAUAUCUGAGGGAUUAUUGUAAUACUACUAUAUUUUGCGAUAACUCAUAUCCAUUGUAUAGGCAACGUAAUAAUGGAAUUUCUAUUAAAGUUAUGGGUCAAAUGUUUAACAAUCGUUGGGUCGCACCAUACGAUCCUUAUUUAAGUGCGAAAUUUGACUGCCACAUCAAUGUUGAAGUAUGUUCUUCUAUCAAAACUGUAAAAUAUUUGUAUAAAUAUGUGUACAAAGAAUAUGAUCGUAUUAAUUUCUUCGUUGACACAAAUGAAACAAAUGAGGAAAUCGAUGAAAUUUUUGCUUAUCAAUCUGCUAGAUGGAUAUCUCCACCCGAGGUUAUGUGGAGAAUUUUUUCUUUCAAUUUGUCAGAUAUUUAUCCAUAUGUUUAUUCUUUACACUUUCAUAUUGAGGAUCAUCAAUAAAUAACAUAUAUUGAUCAUGAUGAUUUAUCAACUAUUAUUGAAAAAGAAAAUACGAGAAGAACUAUGUUAACUGAAUUCUUUCUAAUGAAUGAAGAAAAUGAACUUGUUCAUACAUUGUUGUAUCGAGAUUUCCCAAAAUAUUUUGUUUGGAAUGCAAAUAACAAAAUUUGGACUCCUAGAAAGAAGCAAAUUGUUAUAGGACGAAUUGUAAUAGCUAAUUCUUCUGAAGGAGAACGAUAUUUCCUUCGCAUUCUUCUUAAUCAUAUUAGAGGAUCAGUAUCAUUUCGUGAUUUACGAACUUUAAAUGGGGUAACUGUUGCUACAUAUCGAGAAGCAACACUUUUAUAUGAUUUAUUAAGCGGAGACAAUCAUUUUGAAGAAUGUAUAUUUGAAGUUAUUGUUUAUGAAAUGCCUACUUUUUUAAAACGUCUCUUUGCUAUACUUCUUACACUUUGCAAUCCUAACCAUCCAAAGUUCUUGUGGGACAAGUUUAAGGUUUAUAUGUUUGACGACUAUGUACGUCAAAAUAUACCUAAGGAGAUUGUGGAACUACGGGCUUUAGAAGACAUUAGUUCUAUUUUGGAAUCAUUAGGUAAGAACAUAAAUGAUUAUGUCAUGGUGCCAUUCAAUGUAAAUAUAUAUGAAACUGAAAGGUUGAGAAGAAUGGUUGAAGAGGAGACAACUAAUUUUGAUAUUGAAGGGGGUCUUGCUUGUGCUGCAAUAUUAAAUAAAGAACAAGAGUUUGCAUAUGAUAUAAUUAUGGAAAAAGUAAAAUCUGAAUCGAGUGGUGCUUUCUUCAUCGAGGGUCUAGGUGGGACAGGAAAAACAUUUUUAUAUAAAGCACUCCUAACUGGUGUAAGGUCACAAAAUUUAAUUGUUUUGGCAACUGCAUCAUUUGGAGUAUCUGCAUCUCUUUUAUCUGGAGGUCGAACGGCUCAUUCAAGAUUUAAAAUUCCUUUAAAAACAGUUGGUGAAAUAAAAUGUUCUGUUAGCAGGCAAUCAACUUUAAGAAGUUUGUUGAAAAUGUCUAGGUUGAUCAUUUGGGAUGAAACACCGAUGGUAAAUCGUUUUGCUGUUGAAGCUGUAGAUAAGAUGUUUAGGGAUAUUACAGAUUAUAACUUGCUUUUUGGUGGAAAAGUAGUUGUUCUUGGAGGAAAUUUUCGUCAAGUUCUACCAGAGGUGCCGACAUAAUGAAAGUUAGCUUAAUUUUCUCAAACUUAUGGCCUUCGUAUUUGCAUCUACCAUUGAUCGAGAAUAUGAUGGCGAAGUUGGAUCCCACAUUUUUUGAUUACUUGAUAAGAAUUGGAGAUGAAACGGAGAAAGAACAUAGUUGUAAAUGCAUUAAACUUCCAAACAAUAUAGUUUUGCCAUUUGAAGAUGAAAUUACAUCUUUAAAAAAUUUGAUACAUCAUGUUUUUCCAGAUAUAGAAGCAUAUGUUGAUAAUCUCUAUGCGAUGGUAAAUCAAGUUAUUCUUACGCCUCAAAUGAAGGUGUUGAUCAUAUUAACCAAAUUUUGCUCGAACAGAUUCCAAGUGAAAUGUUCGCAUAUUACAGUUUCAAUGAAGCAAUUGAUAAAUCAAAACAAAACUUGCAAGAAGAUUUUUUUGAAUAGUCUAACCCCAAAUGGUAUUCCACCACAUAAAUUGGAACUUAAGAUAAAUUGUCGUGUCAUGUUAUUGCGAAAUAUCAAUCCUUCUGAAGGAUUGUACAAUGGGACACGCUUAACUUGUCGAAAGUUUCAAAAGAACGUAAUUCUUGCUAAAAUCACAACUGACGAGUCUUGUGGAAAAUAUGUUUUCUUGUCAAGAACCCUUCUAUACCUCUAAAAAAUGAUCAAAACUCAAUUCAAUUCAAAAGAACUCAAUUUCCAAUCAGACUGUGCUUCGCAAUGACGAUAAACAAAGCACAGGGUCAAACGCUUAAUUUUGUGGGUUUGUAUCUUCCAGAGACAAUUUUCUGUCAUGAUCAACUUUAUGUAGCAUUAUCAAGGACAAAAACAAGCACAUCUAUCAAAGUUCUACUUAAACCAUUAAAAGCAGAAAAUUUUCACAAAACAUGUACCAAAAAUGUUGUCUACAAAGAAAUUUUUCCGUUCAUAAAUAUGUCAGAAAGAUCUGAAAAAUAAGACAUUGACCCCCACAUGCGUUUUAGGUUUCUUUGUGGAACUUCAUACAAUUCUUGUCUUACUUCAACGGCCUUCUAAAUCUUGGCUUUAUCAAAGGGUCCAAAAAUGAAUCUUGGUGCUAAGGGCUAGAUAGAUUGGCUUCUAGAUCUGCUCAAUACUAUGCAAGGGCAUGUUUUGCAAAAUGGUUUGUUGUUUUGAUUUAUACAUAUCAGCUGUAUCUUUUACUUUAGAAUCUCCAUUUCAAUAAAUUUUCCUUUUAUGGAAGAAAAAAGAUGUUGUACUGACCUUUUCCCUUUGCAUUCUAAUAUUCUAGGAGAAGUGUUUUACGAUACCUUGUGGUCCUUCUGCUCUGGCUAUUAAAGCAGCGGCAUGGUGCUAAUUGCCAUUGACUAAUGAACAAUUGCAAAUAAAACUGAAUAAUUAUUUAUGAUUUCUUGUAAUAAAAUUUUUCGAAUGGUGUAGAGAUACCAUUGUGAUUAUUUAUGAUUUCUUGUGAUUAAAUAAAACUGAACAGAAGUGAAUAAUGAACCUUUGCGUACUAAAAGCUCUACGAGCCUUAGGUAAAAAAUACUAGGUCUUUCGAUCACUUCAAUUUGCAAACUUAGUUUCAUAUGCUCUUUUUUACUUUAUAUAUGUUGAUGCACAUCCUCAGCAAAUAAAUCUGCAUCUUUCUAUUUUAAUUUUAAAUAGGCAACCAGUUUUGCCAACUGUGAUUUAUUAUUUUGGUAAAAUUUUCUAUUAUUGUUGUUUCCUAAUUAUACUUGUCUUCACACGAGAAUUCUAUUAAAAUAUUUUCUUAUUAUUAUCUAAAAUCUUCUUACUCAUUAGACUAUAGAGAUAGAAUUCAUCGCUAUGCCUUAUAUAGCCAAUUCUUUUUAGAUUGCUCCUCUGAGUAAAAUUCUUGAUUAUUAAGAGCGUUUCUUUCUUGAGACAUUCAAAUUUUUGCUGUAUCCCCUCUCAUUUCGUAUGUGUUAAAUCUAAUCAUCAGUUUAAGCAUUUUCCUAAUCAAUGUUCGCUAAAUGUUCUUCAUUUCUGCUAUAACCUGCUUCAUAAGUUAUCUUUUAUUUUUUCCUCCUUUUUGAAAAGCUACCAUAAUGGGCUUCCUUUGCAUCAUGAUACAAAAAGAGGCCUUGACCAAACUGUAAAGUUGCUUCUUUCACAUGGAGCAAAUACUGACAUUUUCCCAUUAUGCUUAUUAGGGGCACAUGUGCUUAUUCUCUGGUUGGUUGAAAGAGCUUUACGGGCCUAGCUUUCUUAAACUAAUGCACCUCAAUUGCUUUCAAGAGAACUAUUUGGAUGAUUGUGAUCACUUCACCAUGCUUCCUCCUGUUUUUUAAUGUCACGUCUUUUUUUUUUUUUUUUUUUUUUUUUUUUUUUUUUCGUUAUCGUCUUUUAUCAUUAGGACCAACAGAAGUUUUUUGACACUACUACAUAUCAGCUUCGUUGGUACAAUAAUAUGGGUUUGCUCUGUUAGGUGCAUGUGGCAAAAAAUAGUAGGAUAUUGAUGUACGUUUUUGUAUUUUGUACAACGUUGUUGAAACUAGCAAUCGAGUGCCUCAAUUAGCUAAAAUUGUACUUCA